AAAGAUUUAGUUUAAAAUCUAUCAUAAAACAUUAAGUUGUCAACUUAAAAAUAUCAUCUUUA
rnacentral:tRNA from 1 species